UCAGAUUGAACGCUGGCGGCAGGCCUAACACAUGCAAGUCGAGCGGAUGAGAAGAGCUUGCUCUUCGAUUCAGCGGCGGACGGGUGAGUAAUGCCUAGGAAUCUGCCUGGUAGUGGGGGACAACGUUUCGAAAGGAACGCUAAUACCGCAUACGUCCUACGGGAGAAAGCAGGGGACCUUCGGGCCUUGCGCUAUCAGAUGAGCCUAGGUCGGAUUAGCUAGUUGGUGGGGUAAUGGCUCACCAAGGCGACGAUCCGUAACUGGUCUGAGAGGAUGAUCAGUCACACUGGAACUGAGACACGGUCCAGACUCCUACGGGAGGCAGCAGUGGGGAAUAUUGGACAAUGGGCGAAAGCCUGAUCCAGCCAUGCCGCGUGUGUGAAGAAGGUCUUCGGAUUGUAAAGCACUUUAAGUUGGGAGGAAGGGCAGU
rnacentral:rRNA from 1 species